rnacentral:tRNA from 1 species
CUAUAUUUACCGUAAUUAAAUCGAUUCCUUAAAUAUCAAAAAUUUAUGUACAUCUUAUACUAAAAUAUA